UGGGGGAUAUUGCACAAUGGGCGAAAGCCUGAUGCAGCGACGCCGCGUGGGGGAUGAAGGCCUUCGGGUUGUAAACUUCUUUUGCUCUGAACAAGGCGCACCAUGGGGUGUGUUGAGUGUAGGGGUUGAUUAGCGCCGGCUAACUACGUGCCAGCAGCCGCGGUAAUACGUAGGGCGCGAGCGUUGUCCGGAAUUAUUGGGCGUAAAGGGCUUGUAGGUGGCUGGUUGCGUCUGUCGUGAAAGCUCAUGGCUUAACUGUGGGUUUGCGGUGGGUACGGGCUGGCUUGAGUGCAGUAGGGGAGGCUGGAAUUCCGGGUGUAGCGGUGGAAUGCGCAGAUAUCAGGAGGAAUACCGGUGGCGAAGGCGGGUCUCUGGGCUGUUACUGACACUGAGGAGCGAAAGCAUGGGGAGCGAACAGG
rnacentral:rRNA from 1 species